rnacentral:rRNA from 1 species
UUUACCAAAAACAUCACCUCUAGCAUAUACAGUAUUAGAGGCAAUGCCUGCCCAGUGACUCUGGUUUAACGGCCGCGGUAUCCUGACCGUGCAAAGGUAGCAUAAUCACUUGUUCUCUAAAUAAGGACUAGUAUGAAUGGCUUCACGAGGGUUUAACUGUCUCUUACUUCCAAUCAGUGAAAUUGACAUCCCCGUGAAGAGGCGGGGAUAAAAAAAUAAGACGAGAAGACCCUAUGGAGCUUUAAUUAACUAAUUCAUAGACAUAUCAUAUUUUAUCCAAAAGAAAUAAACUAAUAAUUAUUGAAUUAGCAAUUUAGGUUGGGGUGACCUCGGAGUAAAACCUAACCCCCGAGAUAUAAAAUAUUAAGACUCACAAGUCAAAAUUAUAUAAAUAAAUACUGAUCCGCCACUGGCGAUCAACGAAACAAGUUACCCUAGGGAUAACAGCGCAAUCCUAUUUAAGAGUCCCUAUCGACAAUUAGGGUUUACGACCUCGAUGUUGGAUCAGGACAUCCCAAUGGUGCAGCAGCUAU